rnacentral:rRNA from 1 species
CGGACGGGUGAGUAACACGUGGAUAACCUACCUAUAAGACUGGGAUAACUUCGGGAAACCGGAGCUAAUACCGGAUAACAUGUUGAACCGCAUGGUUCAACAGUGAAAGACGGUCUUGCUGUCACUUAUAGAUGGAUCCGCGCCGCAUUAGCUAGUUGGUAAGGUAACGGCUUACCAGGGCAACGAUGCGUAGCCGACCUGAGAGGGUGAUCGGCCACACUGGAACUGAGACACGGUCCAG